rnacentral:rRNA from 1 species
GACGAACGCUGGCGGCGUGCUUAACACAUGCAAGUCGAACGGAAAGGCCCUGCUUUUGUGGGGUGCUCGAGUGGCGAACGGGUGAGUAACACGUGAGUAACCUGCCCUUGACUUUGGGAUAACUUCAGGAAACUGGGGCUAAUACCGGAUAGGAGCUCCUGCUGCAUGGUGGGGGUUGGAAAGUUUCGGCGGUUGGGGAUGGACUCGCGGCUUAUCAGCUUGUUGGUUGGGUAGUGGCUUACCAAGGCUUUGACGGGUAGCCGGCCUGAGCGGGUGACCGGCCACAUUGGGCCUGGGAUACGGCCCAGACUCCUACGGGAGGCAGCAGUGGGGAAUAUUGCACAAUGGGCGGAAGCCUGAUGCAGCAACGCCGCGUGCGGGAUGACGGCCUUCGGGUUGUAAACCGCUUUCGCCUGUGACGAAGCGUGAGUGACGGUAAUGGGUAAAGAAGCACCGGCUAACUACGUG